rnacentral:rRNA from 1 species
UACCAGCACCCCGAGUGGUCGGGACGAUUAUUGGGCCUAAAGCAUCCGUAGCCGGCCUUACAAGUCCCCCGUUAAAUCCAACUGCCUAACAGAUGGGCUGCGGAGGAUACUAUAAGACUAGGAGGCAGGAGAGGCAAGCGGUACUCAGUGGGUAGGGGUAAAAUCCGUUGAUCCAUUGAAGACCACCAGUGGCGAAGGCGGCUUGCCAGAAUGCGCUCGACGGUGAGGGAUGAAAGCUGGGGGAGCAAACCGG